rnacentral:rRNA from 1 species
GACGUAGGUGGCCAACGUUAUCCGGAAUUAUUGGGCGUAAAGAGCUUGUAGGCGGUUUGUCGCGUCUGCUGUGAAAUCUCAAGGCUCAACCUUGAGCUUGCAGUGGGUACGGGCAGACUAGAGUGUGGUAGGGGAGACUGGAAUUCCUGGUGUAGCGGUGAAAUGCGCAGAUAUCAGGAGGAACACCGAUGGCGAAGGCAGGUCUCUGGGCCACUACUGACGCUGAGAAGCGAAAGCAUGGGGAGCGAACAGG